UCAUCUUCUUCUUCUUCUACUCACACUGGUUGAUUGAAUCCAUCCAUCCUCAAACCUACCCUACCCUACUACAACAAGAAACCAUCACCAUCGUCAUUCAUCAUGGA
rnacentral:ribozyme from 1 species